GAUGAACGCUGGCGGCGUGCCUAAUACAUGCAAGUCGAGCGAACAGAUAAGGGGCUUGCUCCUUUGACGUUAGCGGCGGACGGGUGAGUAACACGUGGGUAACCUACCUAUAAGACUGGGAUAACUUCGGGAAACCGGAGCUAAUACCGGAUAAUAUUUCGAACCGCAUGGUUCGAUAGUGAAAGAUGGUUUUGCUAUCACUUAUAGAUGGACCCGCGCUGUAUGAGCUAGUUGGUAAGGUAACGGCUUACCAAGGCGACGAUUCGUAGCCGACCUGAGAGGGGGAUCGGCCACACUGGAGCUGAGACACGGUCCAGACUCCUACGGGAGGCAGCAGUAGGGAAUCUUCCGCAAUGGGCGAAAGCCUGACGGAGCAACGCCGCGUGAGUGAUGAAGGUCUUCGGAUCGUAAAACUCUGUUAUUAGGGAAGAACAUACGUGUAAGUAACUGUGCACGUCUUGACGGUACCUAAUCAGAAAGCCACGGCUAACUACGUG
rnacentral:rRNA from 1 species